rfam:Candidatus Altiarchaeum sp. CG2_30_32_3053 cg_3.0_sub100_scaffold_79_c, whole genome shotgun sequence.
GCGGGGGUUCCCAAGCGGUCAAAGGGGGUAGGCUCAAGACCUACCUGUGAAAGCAUUCGUGGGUUCGAAUCCCUCCCCCCGCA